rnacentral:ncRNA from 1 species
GAUAGAGGUUGCGAAAGCGAAGAGUAGCUCACGGCGAACGACGGCAAACGGCUGUGAGGGAAAGGCGCUUUCGCCGAAGUGAUCCUGCGGUUGCCGCCGCUUGGUUGCUGGGCUUACGCCGAACAGGCGUGAGACUGUCGCAUUUUAUGCGGAGAGCUAUC